ACCAUGGUGUCAUCCCACACUAGUUUGGCCGGCGAAGCAGCUCUGCCUGCUCUGUCGCUCACUCCAACGCCUCCCGCGCUGCCCCUCCGGUGGCCGCUUCCUCUUUGGUCCUGGCAUAGAUAGCAGGAGGGAUGUACGACUGUUAGGCCCGAAGAGCACGGUGACAUUGCUCAUCGUUGACAGUGAGCGGCUCAGCCCUCGUCAUGCAAAUAGCCAACACCAUCAUCAUCAGCGAGGAGCUACUGUAGUACCUGCACCUGGUGAGGUUGGUGGUGCGCUACUACAUGCCUCUACAACAAGACACGGUGGCAUGCUAAAUGGAGCUUUGAGCAGCAGCACAUCGUGGGGAGAGGACGGAUGUGGUGGUCUGGGAGCCUCGGGCUCCACUACAUCUGCCGCUAGAAGCAGCAACAGAACGCGUUGUUCGACUGUGCCAGCCUUGGCGGUGAUCUCGACGAUUGCAUGGAGUGGAAGACUUUGCAGUGUAGCAAGGUUGCUCAGGAGCUGCUGAAGGGAAACAACCCUGGAUGUCACAGGCUGAAGGAGGAGGUCUUACACAUCUUCUUGGUUCAGGACUUGAGAAAUAAGGUGAAGAAAAAGGAAAAAGACCUGCUAAUCUUUCCCUUCACCGUUGGAUGUCGGUCGAAUGGUUGAUGGCAGGGGGAACUCACUCGACGUAUCGAAGCUACUGUAUGGACUAAGAGA